rnacentral:rRNA from 1 species
UACGUAGGGUGCGAGCGUUAAUCGGAAUUACUGGGCGUAAAGCGUGCGUAGGCGGUUCGUUAAGUUCGUUGUGAAAGCCCCGGGCUCAACCUGGGAAUGGCAAUGGAAACUGGCGGGCUGGAGUAUGGCAGAGGGGGGUGGAAUUCCGCGUGUAGCAGUGAAAUGCGUAGAGAUGCGGAGGAACACCGAUGGCGAAGGCAGGUCUCUGGGCCACUACUGACGCUGAGAAGCGAAAGCAUGGGGAGCGAACAGG